GCCCAAUCUCAGAUCAUAUAUGUUCAGGAGUUCAUCUUCCAUUGUAUCUGGUCUCAUAGCAGUUCAUCUAACUGACUGUCAUCAUUUGUUCAAAUCUGAAGAACUAGUUGACAUGUCAUGUUUUUGGCUGGGGAUCUUCAGGUUGUGUCCUUGAAUUCAAUGAUUAAGAGUUUGUUCGGCAAUAUUAACUGUUUUAGCAGCUGUCGGCUGUUUUAUCAGCUGAUAGCUGUUAUAUAUUUGUUGUUAAUGAUUAGCUGCUUGUAUAGUGAUUAAAAGCAAAAGUAUUCGAUAAAAAUAGUUA
rnacentral:misc_RNA from 1 species